rnacentral:misc_RNA from 1 species
GUCUAGGACGAGGACGAAAUCGUUCGGGGUCGUGCUUAUUUCAUUGAGCAAGUUUGUCAGGGUCGAUUCGGUCGGCGUUGGCUGGGGUGAUUGGAGCGCACCCAGCACGGCUUCUCCGAUCUCCGCAGCGAUCGUCUGCAAGGCGGCGACGAGGUAAGCCAGAAAGCGCGUGGGGUCGUUGUCGCUUUCGUCCAGCGACAGCCAGGCGGCCGGUCGCCCGCAACCGGCCGCCCAUUCGCCCAGCAGCGUGGUCUUACCGAAGCCGGCGGGGGCUGAGACGAGGGUCAGCCUGCGGGUCAGACCUUCGUUCAGCCGCUCGG